rnacentral:miRNA from 2 species
CGUCGGACCAGGCUUCAUUCC